UAUGAAGUCUUUGUUUUCUUCCGAAAACAAGCUCAAUGAGAGCCAUCGGGGGUAGAUCUAUCUCAUGACGAGUGGUGGAAUACUUUGACUCAUGAGAGAGAAGCUGAGGCGAAGGCGUCUACCUAGAGGGUUUCUGUCGAUCAAGGGCGAGAGUAGGAGUAUCCAACAGGAUUAGAGACCCUGGUAGUUCCUACCUUAAACGAUGCCGACAGGAGUUUGUCAUUUGUUAAUGGCAGAAUCUUUGGAGAAAUCAUAGUUCUUGGGCUCUGGGGGAACUACGACCGCAAGGCUGAAACUUGAAGGAAUUGACGGAAGGGCACACCAGGGGUGGAGCCUGUGGCUUAAUUUGAAUCAACACGGGGAAACUUACCAGGACCAGAUGUUUUUUAUGACUGACAGGCUUCGGGUCUUUCAGGAUAUUGUUUUUGGUGGUGCAUGGCCGUUGGUGGUGCGUGGGUUGACCUGUCUAGCGUUGAUUCAGCUAACGAGCGAGAUUAUCGCCAAUUAUUUACUUUGCCGAAGUCCUUCGGUUAAAGUUCUAAUUGGGACUCCCUGCGAUUUUAGCAGGUGGAAGAGGGUAGCAAUAACAGGUCCGUGAUGCCCUUUAGAUGCUCUGGGCUGCACGCGUGCUACAAUGUUAGGAUCAAUAGGACUGCGAGCCUGAGAGGGUGCGCUACUCUUAUAAUCCCUAACGUAGUUGGGAUUGACGUUUGUAAUCAGCGUCAUGAACCAGGAAUCCCUUGUAAAUGUGUGUCAACAACGCACGUUGAAUACGUCCCUGCCCUUUGUACACACCGCCCGUCGCUCCUACCGAUUGGAUGACUCGGUGAAAUCACCGGAUGCUUACGAGCAGAAAGUGAUUAAAUCACGUUAUCUAGAGGAAGGAGAAGUCGUAACAAGGUAACGGUAGGUGAACCUGCCGUUGGAUCAGUU
rnacentral:ncRNA from 1 species